rnacentral:rRNA from 1 species
GAAUUGCUGGUGAAGGGGUUAAAUCCGUUGAUAUCAGCAGGAACACCAAAUGCGAAGGCAGCUUACUAGAACAUUCCGGACGCUGGAGCACGAAAGCGUGGGGAGCGAAGAGGAUUAGAUACCCUCGUAGUCCACGCCGUAAACGCUGGAUACUAGGCAUUGGAAGUAUCGACCCUUUCAGUGCCGCUUCAACUAAGCUAACGCGUUAAGUAUCCCGCCUGGGGAGUACGGCCGCAAGGCUAAAACUCAAAGGAAUUGACGGGGACCCGCACAAGCGGUGGAGCAUGUGGUUUAAUUCGACAUUAAGCGAGGAACCUCACCAAGGCUUGACAUCCCUAGAAUCUCGGGUAAUGCCGAGAGUGCCGCAAGGAACUAGGUGACAGGUGCUGCAUGGUUGUCGUCAGCUCGUGUCGUGAGAUGUACGGUUAAGUCCGGUAACGAGCGCGACCCUUAUCCUAUGUUAUAUAUGUCAUAGGAGACUGCCAUCUUUAAGGUGGAGGAAGGAGAGGAUGACGUCAAAUCAGCAUGGCUCUUACGCCUUGGGCUACACACGUGCUACAAUGGCUAGUACAAUGGGCCGCUAAGCCGAAAGGUGGAGCUAAUCCCAUCAAAGCUAGUCUCAGUUCGGAUUGAGGUCUGCAACUCGACCUCAUGAAGUCGGAAUCGCUAGUAACCGCGUAUCAGACACGGCGCGGUGAUACGUUCUCGGGUCUUGUACACACCGCCCGUCACGUCAAGGGAGUCGGUAGUACCCGAA